AUUGAACGCUGGCGGCAGGCCUAACACAUGCAAGUCGAGCGGAUGAAGGGAGCUUGCUCCUGGAUUCAGCGGCGGACGGGUGAGUAAUGCCUAGGAAUCUGCCUGGUAGUGGGGGAUAACGUCCGGAAACGGGCGCUAAUACCGCAUACGUCCUGAGGGAGAAAGUGGGGGAUCUUCGGACCUCACGCUAUCAGAUGAGCCUAGGUCGGAUUAGCUAGUUGGUGGGGUAAAGGCCUACCAAGGCGACGAUCCGUAACUGGUCUGAGAGGAUGAUCAGUCACACUGGAACUGAGACACGGUCCAGACUCCUACGGGAGGCAGCAGUGGGGAAUAUUGGACAAUGGGCGAAAGCCUGAUCCAGCCAUGCCGCGUGUGUGAAGAAGGUCUUCGGAUUGUAAGGCACUUUAAGUUGGGAGGAAGGGCAGUAAGUUAAUACCCUGCUGUUUUGACGUUACCAACAGAAUAAGCACCGGCUAACUUCGUG
rnacentral:rRNA from 1 species